UUCGUUGUAGUCUAGUUGGUCAGGAUACUCAGCUCUCACCUGAGAGACUCGAGUUCAAGUCUCGGCAACAGAA
rnacentral:tRNA from 1 species